rnacentral:lncRNA from 1 species
GUGGCAGAAGUUGAAGUCGCUGUGGAUAAGGUCGGUACACCUGCCGGCGAAGAGGAGGAGGAAGAGGAGGAAGUAGAAAUAUCCUGGAUUCAAGAAAAGGCCGAGGAUCUUGUUAUUGCUACUGGCCAAGCAAUUGAUAGAGUUCCUGGGCCGCGAGUAGCGGAGACUCGCAUGCCCUGGCUCGUUGCAUUGCCGUUAGCCUACCUAGGAAUUACUUUUGUCAUUGCCUGUGUCAGGACGUACAAGAAAUACACUUCCCCCAAAGGACAACGAAAACGCCAGGUAGAUUCGUUUGGCCACAUUAGCGACAGGGGUAAAUAUAUAAGUUUUCGAGAAUUCUUGGGUAUUUAGUGUAAUUUCUGACUGCAUCCCCCCCUCCCCCCCCCCCCCUCCCAAAUUAGCCUUUGUCUCUUGCUUGCAUUUCAGAGGGAUUCAAUUUUUGACUCAUUCCCAGCCCGCCCCUAAAACCUGUGCUUGUCUCGACUUGGCUGUGUAUCUGACGAAAGACUGUGGUGGCAGGUAGGAAAGAAUGCAUUUUUGGUGGAAAGUUUAGGAGAGUACUUUCCUACGAAAAGAGAUGAAUUGGAUGCCAACAAGCUUCAGAAGCUCGCAAACAAGGUAAUAUCACUGAUCCACCUUUCUCGUUCUUUUUCUUUAAUUAAGAACCGCAGUUUCUAUUCUGACGCUCACAUUGGAUACAAUGCUCGUCUAAAACGCACUUAUCUUAACUGUCGAAUCUAUCAGUGUGAAAGGUCUAGGUGUGCAUCAAUCUUUUUCGUUCAUUGUUCUCUAAACGAAGACAUUACGAAGACAUCGUUCUUAUGAAUCAAAUUUUUUGUUGCUCGUUGUUGCUGGUUACUUCGAUUAGCGAUUUAUCUCAGAUAAGUAGGUAAUUUGCAUUUUGACUUAAGAAGUUGUGGGGUUUCUACGAUUCGAUAAUUAUCUUUCUAAACAUCUUUCCUUCACAUGCGAGUUUGUAACAUUAGCACUCGCUAAUUUUUUCAUGUCGUGAAACAAACUUUCUGAACCUUUUCUUUGAUCAUAGUCGGUUUAAGAUUAGAAAGCUUACUCUAUGGUUUAAUUUGUGGAGAUGUGCAGUGCAAUUUUUCUCUAGGCGAGGUUCUGCGCAAAUACGUACGUUAUGCUCUAAAUGAGCGGCCAUUCACCCCAGAGACAGUUGCUGACCUGCUCCACUUGAGAAAGGUCUCAGGUUUAAGUGAAUCCGAGGUUGCUGAUGUGUUGAAUGACGUUGCCAAACGCUUAGUGAAGUCUAAAGGUACCUCACCCAUGUGCGGCUAUUGUUCUUCGUUUGAAUGUCUUUUGGUUAUAUAUAUUAAACUUCAUUUUUUGUACACCUUCCUCCAUAUUGGCAUGUUCUGUUGUCUUUUCGUUUGCUCCAAGUGCAUCCUUUCUGGUAUAUCCGAAAUAGGGACUUGUAUUCUCUGAACGAUUUGAUAAAGAAUAUAUCAACAGUUAAAGAAUGUGGUUGUGCCAGGCCCAGUCGUGAUGAAUACAGAAGGCAUGACAGAAAAGGGUAUUAAGCGAAAGGCUGCAGUUCAGGCGCUCUUUUCCAAGCUCCUCUAUCUUUCUGAAGUAAGUUCUUCCUUCCAAUUGCUGCAACAAUUUAGGCAUGUUUCUAAAGGAAUCUAGUACAGUUAUGCUUUCAGGAUUAAAAGAUAUGUAUAUUCCUCCAAGUCCAAUUAAACAAACUCAUGGUUGAUUUUCUUGACUUUGCUCACAUGACAUGUUCCAACCAAAGAUUCACAAUGUGCAAGGCUAUGUGACUGUCAUGUGUCAUCAAUUGUGUUUUCUUAUCAUAUGUUUAAGAAUGUUUUGGAUUAGAUUGCGGAUGUAUUUUUCAUUGUAGAAUUUAUCUUACUUGCUGCUGGUGUGUUCCAGUUGGAGGAGUUUGUUACGAGUGAUAAUAGAAGUGCCUUGACCAUCAAGACAACUUUUGGUGUUACCGAGUAAGUCUUCAUACACUACUUUUUAAUUAUUGCUAAGCAUUUGAUAUUAUGUACUCGAUUUAUGGACUCAAAAGUUUCAUGUUGGGUUUUGUGAGAUCUCGAGUUGAGUUGAAAAGUAUUGUAUCAAGGUGGUUACUUUCUUUUUAUUUGCUGCAGCG